rnacentral:rRNA from 1 species
UACGUAGGUGGCAAGCGUUGUCCGGAUUUACUGGGCGUAAAGGGCGUGCAGGCGGUUUGUUAAGUCUAGGGUGAAAGCUCCCGGCUCAACUGGGAGAGGUCCUUGGAUACUGGCGAACUUGAGGGAUGCAGAGGAAAGUGGAAUUCCCGGUGUAGUGGUGAUAUGCGUAGAUAUCGGGAGGAACACCAAUUGCGAAGGCAGCUGGCUACAGGGAUAUUGACACUGAGGCACGAAAGCGUGGGGAUCAAACAGG